CUAUUCUGAGGCCGGGCCCGAAGCGCUUAGAAGAGGCCUCCCCGGUGAAGAUAGCAGCCCGGAACCACUAUGCCACCGGACCACCUCCUCUCCGGACAGCCCUGCAGGACCGGACCAGCGCCGAGCGGAGGUGUCACUUCACAUAUCUCUAUGGUGGAGUCUGGUCCUGGGACUGUGAAACCAUCAGAGACUCUGGCCAUGACCUGUAAAGUGACCGGAGCCUCUCUGACUGAUAAAACUAACUUGUGGUGUGUAGAAUGGGUCAGAGAACCUGAAGAAAAAGGCCUGCAGUGGUUGGGAAGAAUAUGUCAUGAUAAUUUCAAACGUUCUGCCCAGUCUGUCCAGGGAAGAUUAACUCUCUCAAGAGACACAAAUAAAGGAGAAGUUUACGGUAUCUUAAACUCACUGGAAUGA